rnacentral:rRNA from 1 species
AGUGAACGCUGGCGGUAGGCCUAACACAUGCAAGUCGAACGGCAGCACAGUAAGAGCUUGCUCUUACGGGUGGUGAGUGGCGGACGGGUGAGGAAUACAUCGGAAUCUACUUUUUCGUGGGGGAUAACGUAGGGAAACUUACGCUAAUACCGCAUACGACCUACUGGUGAAAGCAGGGGAUCUUCGGACCUUGCGCGAUUGAAUGAGCCGAUGUCGGAUUAGCUAGUUGGCGGGGUAAAGGCCCACCAAGGCGACGAUCCGUAGCUGGUCUGAGAGGAUGAUCAGCCACACUGGAACUGAGACACGGUACAGACUCCUACGGGAGGCAGCAGUGGGGAAUAUUGGACAAUGGGCGCAAGCCUGAUCCAGCCAUACCGCGUGGGUGAAGAAGGCCUUCGGGUUGUAAAGCCCUUUUGUUGGGAAAGAAAAGAAGCAGGUUAAUACCCCGCUGUUCUGACGGUACCCAAAGAAUAAGCACCGGCUAACUUCGUG